UUAUGUUGAACGAUUAAUGUUUCGAUAUUGUCACAGCUUCAUUGGAACUUGCGAGUGGUGACACCCAAAGUGUUUUUACAUAUAUACAUUUGAAAUUGGCAAUGACAUUGAUGGGAAGAUUGGCAGAGAAGCAGGUCAUCUCCAUCUCACUGUGAGCAUCAACAACUUCUGGAAGGAUGACAAUGCAGGUGCAACGUUGUUACUGAGAACCUCCACCAGGAGAACAUAACCACUUUACCAUGGUCAGCACGACAGUCCAGACUUGUCACCCAUACACCAUGUCUGGGAUAUCCUUGGACACCAUCAAAACCACCGACCACUCUCAUGGAACUAGGUGCUACCCUGCAGAAACAAUGGGAUACAAUGAUCCAAGCGGACAUUCAGCAUUUGAAUGAAUCCGUGAUUGUCUGGAGAAUAGAGGCGGAUUCAUGUCAUAUUAAUGAGUUUGACUUUUUAUGGUAAAUGAUGUGAUGAACGGCAGGACACUUUGGCCAAUCAUCUAACAAAAUCUAUGGUCAUGUGAUCUUCAACAAUUAAUUCAAAUCUGUGUCAGAUGUCCCUGUUACACUUUUGAAAUUUUUAUGUCAUCAAUUAUAUAAAAUAUCAAUAGUUCUGACACUUUUUUGAAUA